UACAGAGGUGUCAAACGUUGUCCGGAAUUAUUGGGCGUAAAGGGCGCGUAGGCGGCCGGGUAAGUGAGAUGUGAAAGCUCUGGGCUCAACCCAGGAAUUGCAUUUCAUACUGCUCGGCUAGAGAUUGGUAGAGGAUGGCGGAAUUCCAGGUGUAGCGGUGAAAUGCGUAGAUAUCUGGAGGAACACCUGUGGCGAAGGCGACUGCCUGGACCAGCACUGACACUGAGGCACGAAAGCGUGGGGAGCAAACAGG
rnacentral:rRNA from 1 species